CGGGGUGGUGGUGGAAUAAAGUUCUACAUCUUCUGCCCCUGUGGAUCCUGCCACCUUGUCUCCUGGGUGGCCCAGCCCUGUUGUGCAAUGAUCCCAUAAUAGAAAUUGUGACAGCAAGGGCACAUUCUGAACCAAGGUAAGGGACCCUGGGGUUAAGUAUUUCUAAGACUGCAGUGUUUAAGUGUCUACUGUUCCUUUGCAAAGGAGGAAGAUAAGAAGGGAACGAGAAGCAACUGUGACAGCAGGGACCCAUUUGAACCAAAGUAAGACUGUAUUCAAAUCUAAGUUAGAUGCUAAGUAUUUGUCAAAGUGCAAUGCUUAAGUGUUCACAGUAACUUUACAAGGGAGGAGGAUGAGGAGAAAGCCAAAACAACUUGGUUGAGUCUCCAUGACCUCUUUGGCCGUGCCAGGUCUGGCAGCCACCAGCCAUCACUGCAUAUAAAAACCGUUAUGAGAAUUAUAAGGUCCAAAGUAUAAAAUAAAUGAAUAAAUGUACCAGGCAAACACAUACAUAAAUAUACAAACCACAUGUCUGAAACAGUACAGGAAGAAAAGUUCUGAAACCAUUUUGUCUCUCCCAAAUUGACCUCAAAUAUUCCUCUGCAGUUUGGAUGGAAAUGGGAAAACCUGCCUUAAGGGCACAUUUAAGAUAUGAAUAGGGUGAGCCUGUGACCUGGACUCAGCAAUUAAGUAUUUAUCAUCACAAAAGAAUAGCCAGACUCUCCAGAUAAACCCAUCAACAGGUUUCCUGCCAGACAGAAUUCUGCUGUAGACCACGCCUUCUGUGAUGUAUGUAUGAUGAAUUGGGGGGUGGUCUUGGGCUGCAGGGUGGCAAUUUCAAAAAGUCUAUAUAAGGCCGUGCGCACCGUUGUUCUGGGUUCCUCCACCCUCAUGCAUGUGGUGAGUGAGGACCCUGUUGCAACAGUUAAUAAAGAUCAGGCUUACUAGCUGCUUUGCUUCUCAAUAGUCUCUGGUUGGUCUCUGAUUUUCUCCUACCAACAGAGAACCUACAAAAGGACUCUGUAUGGGCUCUUGGGUACCCCAUAAGGGAAAAGGAGCAGUUAUUUUCUUAUAACAAAACACUUGGUUAUUUUGCAGGGCUAACUUGGCCCACACUUUCUCAACCAUAGCCCCACUCCCUACAGUAUGGGUGUGAGUUUUAUCUGCAUCAGCAUUGACAAAGUAAUUUUUAAAAUGUUUUUCAAAUGCAUAAAACAUGUAUGAAAUGGUCAGAGGCAGUAAUGUUUCCGAAUACCAAUUGCUGGAAACUGCAGGAGGGGAGACUGGGGCAUCUGGUCCAUUAGGCUCUUCUUAAAACCUUAAAAUGUGAGUUGGAAAGAUUAUGAAGUCCUCUCUUUGAAGCUACCUUUUGCUUCUGGAUUGACAAGAUAUAGCUACACAAAAAUCCCGGAUACCUGAAUUGUUUUCUACAGGGCAGCAAUCACUUUUCCAUCAGGGAAGACCAGCAGAAAAAGCUUAAAAACAAAUCAGGAAUGUCCUUCUCUAGAACUUAGAAAAUGGGUGUUUUCACUCUAGCCUUUUCUUUGUCUAACAUUUGGCUAGAACUGUUUUCCAUAGUGUUAAUCAUGGCUAUGACUUCAUUCAUUGAUUGAAAACAUGGAAAGGUGAGAGCAGGCUAGUUUCUCACAAAACAAAUGUGAAUAGUACCUGCACAUUUUGUCUCCUAUCUCAGAUUCUACAAGUGCAAUGGGCUUUUUUAAAAAAAAGAAAAGAAAAGAAAGCUGGGAAUCUUGAGAUAGUGGCUCACCCAACGCUGCAAUUGUCCCCCUUGCCCUCUUCCAAGCUUGUGGGCAUCCUCAUUCUUCUGACUUCCAGUAAGAUUUUCUCUUAAUAUUCUGAUUUAAACUAUCUAUUGUUGGUUUUACACAUGAAAAUACUGCAUAUUGGUGCAUGCCACCCAAAUCUCUGAAUGGUGCAAGAUUGCAGAGGUUCCAGGCAUUUACCCAGGGAUUGUGCUUUCGGGAGGGAUGCAGGUGGCGCUGUGGGUUAAACCACAGAGCCUAGGACUUGCCGAUCAGAAGGUCGGCAGUUCGAAUCCCCGCAACGGGGUGAGCUCCUGUCGCUCAGUCCCUGCUCCUGCCAACCUAGCAGUUCGAAAGCACGUCAAAGUGCAAGUAGAUAAAUAGGUACCGCUCCAGCAGGAAGGUAAACAGCGUUUCCAUGCGCUGCUCUGGUUCGCCAGAAGCGGCUUAGUCAUGCUGGCCACAUGACCCGGAAGCUGUACGCCGGCUCCCUCGGCCAAUAAAGCGAGAUGAACGCCGCAACCCCAGAGUCGGUCACGACUGGACCUAAUGGUCAGGGGUCCCUGUACCUUUACCUUGUGCUUUCAGGAAUGAAACACAGUGGGGUGACUUUGUGAUAUAUGGUUUAUUUACACAUAUAUACAACCUGAGCCUAGGAUGGAGGUGUUCACGGCAUUAACACACCAAGAAGUCCUUUCUUCCCACAUAGCUGCAACCUUGGAUUCAAGCAGAAAUUAAGCAUUGCCGUUUCUUUCUCCAGCUUGCUGCUUUACUUCUAAGUCGCAUCACUGUCUUUUUCUGGCUACCAGCCAGUUGAGGGAAGGGGCUCCACACAUCUGCAAUCUCGCACAGAUCCACUUUCCUUUGUUUCACUUAAUGGCCCAUCGCCCAGGCGAUCACCUGGAUAUUCUGCUCAUUGUACUUCAGGCUCCAGCUUCCAGGACACUGAUCUUAGGGUGUUAGAAAGUGCUCCCUUGAUAUCUGGGCUUGGGUUCUUCCUCACAAGUCCAGCUGUUUUUGUUGUUGUUUAGUUGUUUAGUCAUGUCCGACUCUUCGUGACCCCCAUGGACCAGAGCACGCCAGGCACUUCUGUCUUCCACUGCCUUCCGCAGUUUAGUCAAACUCAUGCUAGUAGCUUCGAGAACACUGUCCAACCAUCUCGUCCUCUGUUGUCCCCUUCUCCUUGUGCCCUCCAUCUUUCCCAACAUCAGGGUCUUUUCUAGGGAGUCUUCUCUUCUCAUGAGGUGGCCAAAGCCCAGCUACUGCCCAGCAAAUCCAGGGUUAAAUUUAUUAAAGUAUUCAGUUUAAAUUCAGAUAAGCAGAAAUUACAGAUAAGCACUGGGGUUAUGCUGUAAUAAAGAGGGUCAGUCUUUUUGCAUCUGAAAAAGAAAAUGAUGCCAGACUAGAUGCAAAUUAGUCUCAUUAGUCAACC